rnacentral:rRNA from 1 species
GAUGAACGCUGGCGGCGUGCCUAACACAUGCAAGUCGAGCGGACGGACCCUACGCUUGCUUCUUUGCUGUUAGCGGCGGGCGGGUGAGUAACACGUGGAUCACCUACUUAUCUUUCUGGGAUCACUACGGAAAACGGGCUCUAAUACCAGAUCAUAUUUUGAACCGCAUGGUGCAAAAGAGAGUGCCGGCUUUGCUGGCUCUAAUCGCUGGUUCCCUGCUGGAUUAGCUAGUUGUUAAGUAACCGGCGUACCAAGGCUACGAGGCGUGGCCGACGUGAGAGGGUGAUCGGCCACAAGGGAAGUGAGACAGGGUCCAGAGGACUACGGGAGGAAGCAGUAGGGAAUCGGACGCAAUGGUCGAAAGCCUGACGCAGUAACGCCGCGUGAGUGAUGAAGGCCUUCGGGUCGUAAAGCUCGGUUAUUAGGUAAGAACAGAUGUGGAAGGAGCCGUAGCGAUCUUGACGGUACCGAAUGAGAAAGCAACGGCUAACUACGUG